AUGUGGGAUUUCUAAGACAACUAGGAUGUUGGCUUAGAAGCAGCCACUCAUUUAAAGAGUGCGUAAUAGCUCACUAGUCGAGAGAUCCUGCGCCGAAGAUGUAACGGGGCUCAAACUUACCACCGAAGCUAUGGAUGUGUACUAUGUACACGUGGUAGAGGAGCUUUCUGUACAGGUUGAAGUCAUACCGUAAGGAGUGGUGGACAGUACAGAAGUGAGAAUGCUGGCAUAAGUAGCGAAAAACAAGUGAGAAUCUUGUUGACCGAAUAUCUAAGGUUUCCUGGGAAAGGCUCGUCCUCCCAGGGUUAGUCGGGACCUAAGCCGCGGCCGAAAGGCGUAGGUGAUGGACAACUGGUUGAUAUUCCAGUACCACCAUAAUGCGUUUGACAAAUGGGAUGACGCAGGAGGAUAGGAUGUGCGCACUAUUGGAUGUGCGUCUAAGCACUUAGGGUGUUAAGUAGGCAAAUCCGCUUAACAUUAAGCCUGAGGUGUGAUGGGGAGCCUAUUUUGGCGAAGUAUCUGAUUCCACGCUGCCAAGAAAAGUCUCUAUGGAGCAAAAUGGUGCCCGUACCGCAAACCGACACAGGUAGAUGAGGAGAGAAUCCUAAGGUCGUCGGAAGAAUUAUUGCUAAGGAACUCGGCAAAUUGACCCCGUAACUUAGGGAGAAGGGGUGCCUACGAGAGUAGGCCGCAGUGAAUAGGCUCAAGCAACUGUUUAUCAAAAACACAGG
rnacentral:rRNA from 1 species